rnacentral:rRNA from 1 species
GGCCUUCGGGUUGUAAACUGCUUUUGUACGGAACGAAAAGGCCCUGGUGAACAACCGGGGUUGCUGACGGUACCGUAAGAAUAAGCACCGGCUAACUACGUGCCAGCAGCCGCGGUAAUACGUAGGGUGCGAGCGUUAAUCGGAAUUACUGGGCGUAAAGCGUGCGCAGGCGGACAUGCAAGACAGAUGUGAAAUCCCCGGGCUCAACCUGGGAACUGCAUAUGUGACUGUAUGACUGGAGUACGGCAGAGGGGGAUGGAAUUCCGCGUGUAGCAGUGAAAUGCGUAGAUAUGCCGGAGGAACACCGAUGGCGAAGGCAAUCCCCUGGGCCAGUACUGACGCUCAUGCACGAAAGCGUGGGGAGCAAACAGGAUUAGAUACCCUGGUAGUCC